rnacentral:lncRNA from 1 species
CAUAUGUUAAAUGUGGCCACAAGAACCAUGCCACAAAUUCGUAACAUGGAAGCUAAUCUUUAAGCCCAUGCUGAUUGAAAGUCAAGAUGGAAGCUUGGUGCCAAACUAUAUCCUUGGUAGAAAACCUUAAAAUUGACUUGAAUGAUAUAAAUUACACUCAAGAAAACCUAACAAGACUGACUAAGUGCAAUCUUGCUUGCAAAACUCUUAAAAUGACAAUUAAUGAUUAAUCUAUUACAUACACACUC